rnacentral:pre_miRNA from 1 species
AAAAAGACAAACCUUGGUUUCCGUGUCCAACGUUUGACCGUCCAUCUUAUUUGAAAAAAUUAUGAAAAAAUUAAAAAGACAAGUCAAACAUAAAAUAUUAAUUAUAUUUUAUCAUCUAACAAUAAUAAAAAUACAAAUUAUUCAUAUAAGACGGACAGUUAAAAUUGAACACGGAAACUCAGGAUUUGUUUUUUU